rnacentral:rRNA from 1 species
CAGUCGCCGCGGGAAUACGAAGGGUGCAAGCGUUACUCGGAAUUACUGGGCGUAAAGCGUGCGUAGGUGGUGGUUUAAGUCCGUUGUGAAAGCCCUGGGCUCAACCUGGGAAUUGCAGUGGAUACUGGAUCACUAGAGUGUGGUAGAGGAUAGUGGAAUUUCCGGUGUAGCAGUGAAAUGCGUAGAGAUCGGAAGGAACAUCUGUGGCGAAGGCGACUAUCUGGGCCAACACUGACACUGAGGCACGAAAGCGUGGGGAGCAAACAGGAUUAGAUACCCGAGUAGUCCCUGUCUCUUAUAC